rnacentral:rRNA from 1 species
UACAGAGGUCCCAAGCGUUGUUCGGAUUCACUGGGCGUAAAGGGUGCGUAGGUGGCGGGGUAAGUUUGAUGUGAAAUCUCCGAGCUUAACUCGGAAAUGGCAUUGAAUACUAUUCAGCUCGAGGUUUGGAGGGGGGACUGGAAUUCUCGGUGUAGCAGUGAAAUGCGUAGAUAUCGAGAGGAACACCGGUGGCGAAGGCGAGUCCCUGGACAACACCUGACACUGAGGCACGAAAGCUAGGGGAGCAAACAGG